rnacentral:lncRNA from 1 species
CAGGGGGCGCUUGAGAGCGACGGGGUGUUGGUGCCUCAGCCGGCGAUCCUGCAGCUGUCGUCUGCCAACAUCGAUCGUCACGGUGUGUAUGUGAUGGACGUGGGGGAGUGUCUGUACGUGUAUGUGGGACGCGCUGCCAGCGAUCAGCUCAUACAGGACGUGUUCGCACGCGAGUCCGUCGCAGCAAUGCCUGAGAUCAUGGUGGAGCUACCGGAGCUAGCAAAUCCAACAUCGGAACGACUGCGAAAUUUCAUAACGUAUCAGCAGUCGAUCCGACCGCACUGUGCCGCGCUCAUUGUUCUCAGGGAGGAUAGCAAGCUGAGAGGGUUGUGUGUGCAGCACCUGUACGAUGAUCGAUCAGACUCAACAAUGUCUUACUAUGAGUUCCUACAGCACAUACAGCAGCAGACGCAGCCAAAGUGAGGAAAGGAUGCCGGCACGCGGCGGCGGCAGCGGCGGCGGCGGCGAUGGCGGCUCGGUGGUCACUGCCGGUCUGGAUCAGCUGUCACACAUGUACGUGCGCUGAUGAUUCCUCGCCCGUCUGCCUGACGCUUCACCUGCCUGAGCGAUCAACCGUACGACCGUACACACAUACACACAUACACAUGCUGUCUGACGUGGCGAAGCACAGGGAGCGAUCGACCGUACGACCGUACACACAUACACACCCGCUGUUUGACGUGGCGAAGCACCGGGAGCGAUCAACCGUACGACCGUACACACACGCUGUCUGACGUGGCGAAGCACAGGGAGCGAUCGACCGUACGACCGUACACACAUGCUGUCUGACGUGGCGAAGCACCGGGAGCGAUCGACCGUACGACCGUACACACAUGCUGUCUGACGUGGCGAAGCUCUGAUCGGGGAUGCGUGAGGAUGAGGAUGACGAUGAGCGAAGUUUGCCGUCUCUUCUAGCAGCGAGGCGGAGGGACGACUGCGCGCGCGUCGCCGGACCUUGCGCGCGUCGCCAUCUUACGCUGCGUCGGACGUGUGAGCGGGAAACACGGUCGCACGUUAGUCUGCAUUCACGAGACGUUGGACCAGCGAUGACGAUGAUCUCCAUGAAGUCGUGUUUUGUGUGGAUUUUCGGUCUUCCGGCGUGGGUGGGGUCUUCGAUCCCCCGGCGUGGGUGGGGUCUUCGAUCCCCCGGCGUGGGUGGGGUCUUCGAUCCCCCGGCGUGGGUGGGGUCUUCGAUCCCCCGGCGCGUCUGCGAUCCUCAUGCGACAACGUCUGCGUCGUUGCCGUUCGACUGUCGUAUAUAUUGCCGUGCCGCGGAUUGGAUGCGGCAGAUCACGGAUUAAGAGUGUGCCACGGUCUCACACACCAGGUCGUUAGUCUGUCUCACACGCCGCACUUUCCGCACGAAGUGAAUCCGCCUUCCGUCAUGUUCAUGGCGCCACCUGCAACGCGGAUUACAGAACAUUUUUUUUGUUGACGGUGGAGAACUGGCAUCACGGUCGGUCACACGAUGGCGCCAGCAUCUCAUCUCGUGUGGUGUAGCCGCGGCGACGCAUCAUGUGGUGUAACCGCGGCAACGCGUCGCGUGGUGUAGCUGCGUGUGUGAGUGAUUUUGUGGAGCCGCGCGGCGGCGGUUUCCGGUGGAUUGCGGUUUUUCGUGGUUGCUCUUGCGCGGAAAUUCGUGACGCGCGUUUCCCGUUGCCGUGUCAAUCAUUGCACUGCUCAGUGUAACGUGUGUGCGUGCGAGCGUGCGUGCGUGCGAGCGUGCGAGCGUGCGUGUGUGCGAGCGAGCGUGCGUGCGAG